rnacentral:rRNA from 1 species
AUGCUGGAGGUAUCAGAAGUGCGAAUGCUGACAUAAGUAACGAUAAAGCGGGUGAAAAGCCCGCUCGCCGGAAGACCAAGGGUUCCUGUCCAACGUUAAUCGGGGCAGGGUGAGUCGACCCCUAAGGCGAGGCCGAAAGGCGUAGUCGAUGGGAAACAGGUUAAUAUUCCUGUACUUGGUGUUACUGCGAAGGGGGGACGGAGAAGGCUAUGUUGGCCGGGCGACGGUUGUCCCGGUUUAAGCGUGUAGGCUGGUUUUCCAGGCAAAUCCGGAAAAUCAAGGCUGAGGCGUGAUGACGAGGCACUACGGUGCUGAAGCAACAAAUGCCCUGCUUCCAGGAAAAGCCUCUAAGCAUCAGGUAACAUCAAAUCGUACCCCAAACCGACACAGGUGGUCAGGUAGAGAAUACCAAGGCGCUUGAGAGAACUCGGGUGAAGGAACUAGGCAAAAUGGUGCCGUAACUUCGGGAGAAGGCACGCUGAUAUGUAGGUGAAGCGACUUGCUCGUGGAGCUGAAAUCAGUCGAAGAUACCAGCUGGCUGCAACUGUUUAUUAAAAACACAGCACUGUGCAAACACGAAAGUGGACGUAUACGGUGUGACGCCUGCCCGGUGCCGGAAGGUUAAUUGAUGGGGUCAGCGCAAGCGAAGCUCUUGAUCGAAGCCCCGGUAAACGGCGGCCGUAACUAUAACGGUCCUAAGGUAGCGAAAUUCCUUGUCGGGUAAGUUCCGACCUGCACGAAUGGCGUAAUGAUGGCCAGGCUGUCUCCACCCGAGACUCAGUGAAAUUGAACUCGCUGUGAAGAUGCAGUGUACCCGCGGCAAGACGGAAAGACCCCGUGAACCUUUACUAUAGCUUGACACUGAACAUUGAGCCUUGAUGUGUAGGAUAGGUGGGAGGCUUAGAAGUGUGGACGCCAGUCUGCAUGGAGCCGACCUUGAAAUACCACCCUUUAAUGUUUGAUGUUCUAACGUUGACCCGUGAUCCGGGUUGCGGACAGUGUCUGGUGGGUAGUUUGACUGGGGCGGUCUCCUCCUAAAGAGUAACGGAGGAGCACGAAGGUUGGCUAAUCCUGGUCGGACAUCAGGAGGUUAGUGCAAUGGCAUAAGCCAGCUUGACUGCGAGCGUGACGGCGCGAGCAGGUGCGAAAGCAGGUCAUAGUGAUCCGGUGGUUCUGAAUGGAAGGGCCAUCGCUCAACGGAUAAAAGGUACUCCGGGGAUAACAGGCUGAUACCGCCCAAGAGUUCAUAUCGACGGCGGUGUUUGGCACCUCGAUGUCGGCUCAUCACAUCCUGGGGCUGAAGUAGGUCCCAAGGGUAUGGCUGUUCGCCAUUUAAAGUGGUACGCGAGCUGGGUUUAGAACGUCGUGAGACAGUUCGGUCCCUAUCUGCCGUGGGCGCUGGAGAACUGAGGGGGGCUGCUCCUAGUACGAGAGGACCGGAGUGGACGCAUCACUGGUGUUCGGGUUGUCAUGCCAAUGGCACUGCCCGGUAGCUAAAUGCGGAAGAGAUAAGUGCUGAAAGCAUCUAAGCACGAAACUUGCCCCGAGAUGAGUUCUCCCUGACCCUUUAAGGGUCCUGAAGGAACGUUGAAGACGACGACGUUGAUAGGCCGGGUGUGUAAGCGCAGCGAUGCGUUGAGCUAACCGGUACUAAUGAACCGUGAGGCUUAACCUUACAACGCCGAAGCUGUU